rnacentral:sRNA from 12 species
UUUUUGGAAUAUCGGGUGUCCACCAUCCUCCUCCGGCUGUUCUCCUUCGCAUCUGGCGGCCGACACCGCAGAGGCUAUAUUCCGCUUCCUGUGCGAAAGAGCCCGUC